AAAGAACUGAUACCCCGCAUACACGCCGGGAACGGUUUUUUAUGGUAAAGUCAAACAGUAUGGAAUCUCCGGGAACGUAACCAGUCCUGCAUAUUCUGAGAAUGCCUGUGAUGGGUCCCGAUUUGCAGCACCAACAACAGAGAUGACGGCAAUGUGGAUGGAAGAGUGAAAGAGAAAUGGAAGAGAUGUCGACCUUGUGGAAGCCAUUCUCCAGUGUCAACUGCUGAAAAUAAUCAACUGCAAGUGAACGAUGGUGCAAGACAAAGGAGUGGUAGAUAUGUACAUACGCAUUGCUGGUGGAACGGAGGGUGCGGUUGCCGAGUGCAUUUGUUGAUAU